rnacentral:misc_RNA from 1 species
AUGAAAUCYUCAACCUACAAGCUUUUGUGGUUUGUAGGCUUGGACUUGGAGGCUUGUCGGCCGUUAUCGGUCGGCUCCUCUUAAAUGCAUUAGCUUGGUUCCUUGCGGAUCGGCUCUCGGUGUGAUAAUGUCUACGCCGCGACCGUGAAGCGUUUGGCGAGCUUCUAACCGUCUUAUAAGACAGCUUUAUGACCUC